rnacentral:rRNA from 1 species
UACGAAGGGGGCUAGCGUUGCUCGGAAUCACUGGGCGUAAAGCGCACGUAGGCGGAUUGCUAAGUCAGGGGUGAAAUCCUGGAGCUCAACUCCAGAACUGCCCUUGAUACUGGCGGUCUCGAGUCCGGGAGAGGUGAGUGGAACUGCGAGUGUAGAGGUGAAAUUCGUAGAUAUUCGCAAGAACACCAGUGGCGAAGGCGGCUCACUGGCCCGGUACUGACGCUGAGGUGCGAAAGCGUGGGGGAGCAAACAGG